rnacentral:rRNA from 1 species
UACAGAGGUCUCGAGCGUUAGGCGGAAUCACUGGGCUUAAAGCGUGUGUAGGCGGAUCGGUAAGUACCUUGUGAAAUCCCACAGCUUAACUGUGGAACUGCUCGGUAUACUGCCAGUCUUGAGCCAGCUAGGGGCUACCGGAACAAAUGGUGGAGCGGUGAAAUGCGCAGAUAUCGGGAAGAACACCCGUGGCUAAGGCGGCUCUCUAGUACGGUACUGACGCUGAGACGCGAAAGCGUGGGGAGCGAACAGG